AGAUUGAACGCUGGCGGAAUGCUUUACACAUGCAAGUCGAGCGGCAGCGCGGGGGGCAACCCUGGCGGCGAGCGGCGAACGGGUGAGUAAUACAUCGGAACGUGUCCUUGAGUGGGGGAUAGCUCGGCGAAAGCCGGAUUAAUACCGCAUAAGCUCUGAGGAGGAAAGCGGGGGAUUCGCAAGGACCUCGCGCUGUUGGAGCGGCCGAUGUCGGAUUAGCUAGUUGGUGGGGUAAAGGCCCACAAGGCGACGAUCCGUAGCUGGUCUGAGAGGAUGAUCAGCCACACUGGAACUGAGACACGGUCCAGACUCCGUACGGGAGGCAGCAGUGGGGAAUUUGGACAAGUGGGGGACAACCCUGAUCCAGCCAUUCCGCGUGAGUGAAGAAGGCCUUCGGUUAGUAAGUCUCUUACGGACGAACGAAUCGGUACGACUAACACUGUGACUAAUGACGGUAACCGUAAGAAGAAGAC
rnacentral:rRNA from 1 species